rnacentral:rRNA from 1 species
AUACGGAGGGUGCAAGCGUUGUUCGGAAUCACUGGGCGUAAAGGGCGCGCAGGCGGUUUGGUAAGUCAGAUGUGAAAGCCCACGGCUCAACCGUGGAAGUGCAUUUGAAACUGUCAGACUUGAGUACUAGAGGGGAAAGUGGAAUUCCCGGUGUAGAGGUGAAAUUCGUAGAUAUCGGGAGGAAUACCGGUGGCGAAGGCGACUUUCUGGCUAGAUGCUGACGCUGAGGCGCGAAAGCGUGGGGAGCAAACAGGAUUAGAAACCCCAGUAGUCC